GAUGAACGCUGGCGGCGUGCUUAACACAUGCAAGUCGAGCGGUAAGGCCCUUCGGGGUACACGAGCGGCGAACGGGUGAGUAACACGUGAGCAAUCUGCCCAUCACUUUGGGAUAACUUCGGGAAACCGAAGCUAAUACCGAAUACGACCACUUCAGGCAUCUGAUGGUGGUGGAAAGUUCCGGCGGUGAUGGAUGAGCUCGCGGCCUAUCAGCUUGUUGGUGGGGAAAUGGCCUACCAAGGCUUCGACGGGUAGCCGGCCUGAGAGGGUGACCGGUCACACUGGGACUGAGACACGGCCCAGACUCCUACGGGAGGCAGCAGUGGGGAAUAUUGGACAAUGGGCGGAAGCCUGAUCCAGCAACGCCGCGUGAGGGAUGACGGCCUUCGGGUUGUAAACCUCUUUCAGUACCGACGAAGCGCAAGUGACGGUAGGUACAGAAGAAGCACCGGCCAACUACGUGCCAGCAGCCGCAGUAAGAC
rnacentral:rRNA from 1 species